AACGAACGCUGGCGGCAGGCCUAACACAUGCAAGUCGAGCGCGCCUUCGGGUGAGCGGCGGACGGGUUAGUAACGCGUGGGAAUAUGCCCUUUUCUACGGAAUAGCCUCGGGAAACUGAGAGUAAUACCGUAUACGCCCUUCGGGGGAAAGAUUUAUCGGAGAAGGAUUAGCCCGCGUUAGAUUAGGUAGUUGGUGGGGUAAUGGCCUACCAAGCCUACGAUCUAUAGCUGGUUUGAGAGGAUGAUCAGCAACACUGGGACUGAGACACGGCCCAGACUCCUACGGGAGGCAGCAGUGGGGAAUCUUCGGCAAUGGGGGCAACCCUGACCGAGCCAUGCCGCGUGAGUGAUGAAGGCCUUAGGGUCGUAAAGCUCUUUCGCCAGGGAUGAUAAUGACAGUACCUGGUAAAGAAACCCCGGCUAACUCCGUGCCAGCCGCCGCCGUAACAC
rnacentral:rRNA from 1 species